rnacentral:lncRNA from 1 species
CAAAACCCCACAGCUCCUAAGAAUUCUCUAACCUGCCUUCUGCCCUUAGGCUCCGGUAGAUUGCAAACGACCUGCUUUCUUUCUGAUCCCGGGCUGCGUUCGGACCCCUGUCGUAUAGAAAAUCCCAAGUAAGGUACCUGCCGUCGGCAGAUCUGAGCUUUCUUCUUGGACACCUAAUACCCACAGUCCUCCAGUGAAGGAUCCAGUGAGAUUUUCCAGGUUAACGGUCAUAAUCGCCUACUGGUCCAACGUUCAGAAGUAACACAGGCACCUGGACAAUACACAGUAGAUGUGGAAGGACACGGUUGUACAUUUAUCCAGG